UUUGAAUGCGUCCAUGAGUA
rnacentral:siRNA from 1 species